UGCGUAGGCGGUGCGGUAAGUUCUUUCUGUGAAACCUCCGGGCUUAACUCGGAGCCUGCAGGGGAAACUGCCGUGCUGGAGUAUGGGAGGAGGGUGAGUGGAAUUUCCCGGUGUAGCGGUGAAAUGCGUAGAUAUCGGGAGGAACACCUGUGGCGAAAGCGGCUCACUGGACCAUUACUGACGCUGAAGCACGAAAGCUAGGGGAGCAAACAGGAUUAGAUACCCUGGUAGUCCUAGCCCUAAACGAUGAUCGCUUGGUGUGACAGGUACCCAAUCCUGUCGUGCCGGAGCUAACGCGUUAAGCGAUCCGCCUGGGGAGUACGGUCGCAAGGCUGAA
rnacentral:rRNA from 1 species